rnacentral:rRNA from 1 species
AUUGAACGCUGGCGGCAGGCCUAACACAUGCAAGUCGAGCGGAUGAAGGGAGCUUGCUCCUGGAUUCAGCGGCGGACGGGUGAGUAAUGCCUAGGAAUCUGCCUGGUAGUGGGGGAUAACGUCCGGAAACGGGCGCUAAUACCGCAUACGUCCUGAGGGAGAAAGUGGGGGAUCUUCGGACCUCACGCUAUCAGAUGAGCCUAGGUCGGAUUAGCUAGUUGGUGGGGUAAAGGCCUACCAAGGCGACGAUCCGUAACAGGUCUGAGAGGAUGAUCAGUCACACUGGAACUGAGACACGGUCCAGACUCCUACGGGAGGCAGCAGUGGGGAAUAUUGGACAAUGGGCGAAAGCUUGAUCCAGCCAUGCCGCGUGUGUGAAGAAGGUCUUCGGAUUGUAAAGCACUUUAAGUUGGGAGGAAGGGCAGUAAGUUAAUACCUUGCUGUUUUGACGUUACCAACAGAAUAAGCACCGGCUAACUUCGUG